rnacentral:lncRNA from 1 species
AAAAGAUAAAACGGUUAAUACAUAAGCAACUUAAAAAGAAAAACUUUUCGAACGUCAAAAAGUAUAUAACUGUAGAUAAUUUAGUAGUUUCAGAAUAUGUCAAUGACGUAUUAAAUUUAGGUCCAAACGCCUUAAUACAAAAUGUCCCAACAUGAUAAAAUACUGCUAUACAGCUAGAACCGCUUCUACAAGUUAGUAACCCAGUUACAGCGGACGAAAUAUGGUGGCAAGCAGCAAACACGUUACGAAAUACAAACUUUAAUGAGUUAAAAACUUUGCAAGUAAAAAUAAAAAGAGCUAAUAAAUGGUUAGAGGAAAAUAGAAUAAUCUGUGCCAGAGAUGAUAAGAGUAAAAUGAUAGCAUUAAUACGAAAAGAUACGUAUGAUUCUUUUAUUAAAAAUUUUAUAGAGGAGAAUAACUGCCACCAAUUAAACGAUGAUCCAACAGAACAUGUAGAUAGAGAAGUCCACAGAAUUCUAAAAGGUAAUAAGAUUCCAAAUUUUCUAAAAGGAGCAUCAGUUAGGUCACCUAGACCCCCCCAGACUGUUUGCGUUU